rnacentral:rRNA from 1 species
UACGGAGGGUGCGAGCGUUGUCCGGAAUCACUGGGCGUAAAGGGCGCGUAGGUGGCGCGGGCAGUCAACGGUGAAAGUUCGGGGCUCAACCCUGAAUCGGCCGUCGAUACUCCCGGGCUUGAGCACUGUAGAGGCAGAUGGAAUUCCGGGUGUAGCGGUGGAAUGCGUAGAGAUCCGGAAGAACACCGGUGGCGAAGGCGGUCUGCUGGGCAGUUGCUGACACUGAGGCGCGACAGCGUGGGGAGCGAACAGG